rnacentral:rRNA from 1 species
GACGAACGCUGGCGGCGUGCUUAACACAUGCAAGUCGAACGGAAAGGCCCUGCUUUUGCGGGGUGCUCGAGUGGCGAACGGGUGAGUAACACGUGAGUAACCUGCCCUUGACUUUGGGAUAACUCCAGGAAACUGGGGCUAAUACCGGAUAGGAGCUCCUGCUGCAUGGUGGGGGUUGGAAAGUUUCGGCGGUUGGGGAUGGACUCGCGGCUUAUCAGCUUGUUGGUGGGGUAGUGGCUUACCAAGGCUUUGACGGGUAGCCGGCCUGAGAGGGUGACCGGCCACAUCGGGACUGAGAUACGGCCCAGACUCCUACGGGAGGCAGCAGUGGGGAAUAUUGCACAAUGGGCGGAAGCCUGAUGCAGCAACGCCGCGUGCGGGAUGACGGCCUUCGGGUUGUAAACCGCUUUCGCCUGUGACGAAGCGUGAGUGACGGUAAUGGGUAAAGAAGCACCGGCUAACUACGUG